UACAGGGGUCCCGAGCGUUGUUCGGAUUCACUGGGCGUAAAGGGUGCGUAGGUGGUGAGGUAAGUCGGAUGUGAAAUCUCCAAGCUCAACUUGGAAAUGGCAUUGGAAACUACCUUGCUGGAGGUUUGGAGGGGGGACUGGAAUUCUCGGUGUAGCAGUGAAAUGCGUAGAUAUCGAGAGGAACACCAGUGGCGAAGGCGAGUCCCUGGACAAAACCUGACACUGAGGCACGAAAGCUAGGGGAGCAAACAGG
rnacentral:rRNA from 1 species